rnacentral:rRNA from 1 species
CACGUAGGGGGCAAGCGUUGUCCGGAUUUAUUGGGCGUAAAGAGCUCGUAGGCGGCUCAGUAAGUCGGGUGUGAAACCUCCAGGCUCAACCUGGAGACGCCACCUGAUACUGCUGUGGCUAGAGUCCGGUAGGGGAGAGUGGAAUUCCUGGUGUAGCGGUGAAAUGCGCAGAUAUCGGGAAGAACACCCGUGGCUAAGGCGGCUCUCUAGUACGGUACUGACGCUGAGACGCGAAAGCGUGGGGAGCAAACAGG